UCUUCUUCUUUCUUCUUCUCUCUUCUUCUUUCUUCUUCUCCUCUAUUCUCUUCUCUCUUCUUCUCUCUUCUUCUCCUAUGUUCGCUUCUCUCUUCUUCUCUUCUUCUCUCUUCUUCUCCUCUGUUCCAAAAAUGUGAAAGUUCCGAUAAAAAUCCCUCUAACCCUUCUUUACCCACUGAAGACUUGCCGCGGAAAACCAGGGUACUGACCACCGAAGGCCAUCUUCCUCCUUCCCUUUCACUUUGAGCAUACUCCUCUCUUCAAUAACCUCCACCACCGAAGGCCAAUCAUCAAGAUCUCAAGGCACUACUCAGCUGCCGACGUUUCAAAAUGAGUGAAAGGACUGCCAUGGCUGCAAGCCCUUGAGGUUUUCUUCUUUAACUUGAGCACCUGAUGACGAGCCGAGGGAAGUGUAGGUCUUCUUCGUCAGGCAUCUGUGCCGAGUAAAUCAAGCUAAAUUCUGCAUUCAGAAGCUCCAAGAAAAGGAAGAAGAUGGCCAUGGUCAUGCAAAUGCCUUGCCAAUCCUUUAAAACCUGGCAAUCUCAUGGUGAUGACUGGAGCGGGAAUAAGCACAGAGUGUGGGAUUCCUGAUUAUAGAAGUCCAAUGGAGCUUAUAGUUCUGGUUUCAAACCAAUUACACAUCAGGGUUUUGUAUGUUGAAUUUGGCGAUGAUGAAGGAAUGGCCACCAGGAUCGAUUGGAGGCAGCAACCCACCGGAGAGAACAAUGCUAAGUAAAAAAAAAAAUCAGGAUCGAUUGGAGGCGGCAACCCACCGGAAAGAACAAUGCUAAAAAAAAAAUUUCCAGAAGGAAUAAUUGGAAUAAAAGCAAAGAGAUGAGACGAUUACCUACUCCAAAAAACUUUCUUCUCACCGGAAAUAGCUAAAUCGGGUGGCGAAGGAGAAUCGAAGCAAUCAAAGUUUGAAGAUGGAGAAAACUGAAGGAAGUGAGUGAUCUCUGAUUGAGUGCAGAUGCGCUCAAGGAAGGCGAGGUAGGGGAUACCAGGUCUUGGUCGGUUAAAGGCACGUAACAAAUAUCAGAUCUGAAAAUUCCAAGAUCGAAAUGUCUCUUUAUCUGAAAUUCUAAGCAGCGAAAUCAAACUUUUGAUUAUCUAUUCAACCUCAUCAACUAAACUGUGAUGAAGCCUUCUCGAUCUCCGGUGAAUCUCAUUCUAACUAU